rnacentral:rRNA from 1 species
CUCUUUCUCGAUUCAGUGGAUGGUGGUGCAUGGCCGUUCUUAGUUGGUGGAGUGAUCUGUCUGGUUAAUUCCGAUAACGAACGAGACUCUCCCCUGCUAACUAGUCGGUUGGAUCUUGAUCAGUGGGUUGAGUGCCGAGUAACUCUCGCUGUGCGUGGUGUGCGUCUCGUUCCUUACGGUUCGUUGCGUGCUCAUGUGUGGCGUUGGAUGCCUUGGAUCACACUGCACCCCAAGUCCGCCGCUUUGCUAUAACUCUUCUUAGAGGGAUUCACGGCACUGAAGCCGUAAGAGACUGAGAGCAAUAACAGGUCUGUGAUGCCCUUAGAUGCUCUGGGCCGCACGCGCGCUACAAUGCCGGGCACAGCAGGUGUUUCUCCUGCUCCGACAGGAGCGGGUAACCCUCUGAAAGCCAGUGUUCUUGCAAGUGCUUCCUCCCUCGUGGAGUUGCACAGAGGCGUGCUUGGGCCUGGGACUUGCAAUUCUUUCCCACCAACGAGGAAUGCCUAGUAGCGGCGGGUCACUGAGCCCGCUGUGACUCAGUCCCUGCCCUUUGUACACACCGCCCGUCGCUACUACCGAUUGGGUGUACCAGUGAGAGCCUUGGACUGGCGUCCGUUGUUGCUCGCAAGAGUGACAAGCGGGUCCGACGGAAAGAGGUCCGAA